rnacentral:rRNA from 1 species
UACGUAGGUGGCAAGCGUUGUCCGGAUUUAUUGGGCGUAAAGCGCGCGCAGGUGGUGCGGUAAGUCUGCCGUGAAAUCUCCCGGCUCAACUGGGAGGGGGCGGUGGAGACUGCCGGACUAGAGGGACUCAGAGGCCGGUGGAAUUCCCGGUGUAGUGGUGAAAUGCGUAGAGAUCGGGAGGAACACCAGUGGCGAAGGCGGCCGGCUGGGGGUGCCCUGACGCUGAGGCGCGAAAGCGUGGGGAGCGAACCGG